UACGUAGGGAGCAAGCGUUGUCCGGAAUCAUUGGGCGUAAAGCGCGCGUAGGCGGCCCGAUAAGUCCGCUGUAAAAAGUCAACGGCUCAACUGUUGAAAGCCGGUGGAUACUGUCGGGGCUAGAGUACGGAAGAGGAGAAUGGAAUUCCCGGUGUAGCGGUGGAAUGCGUAGAGAUUGGGAAGAACACCAGUGGCGAAGGCGGCUAUCUUGGACGGUUUUCUGACGCUAAGACGCGAAAAGCGUGGGGGGAGCAAACAGG
rnacentral:rRNA from 1 species